CAUAGGUUAAUGAGGCGAACCGGGGGAACUGAAACAUCUAAGUACCCCGAGGAAAAGAAAUCAACCGAGAUUCCCCCAGUAGCGGCGAGCGAACGGGGAGGAGCCCAGAGCCUGAAUCAGUGUGUGUGUUAGUGGAAGCGUCUGGAAAGGCGCGCGAUACAGGGUGACAGCCCCGUACACAAAAAUGCACAUAUUGUGAGCUCGAUGAGUAGGGCGGGACACGUGGUAUCCUGUCUGAAUAUGGGGGGACCAUCCUCCAAGGCUAAAUACUCCUGACUGACCGAUAGUGAACCAGUACCGUGAGG
rnacentral:rRNA from 1 species